rnacentral:lncRNA from 1 species
UGUUUGAGGGCUUCUCUUUACCUGUUUGUUUAUAUUGUUAUAUUUGCUUGUUUAAGAAGCUUUGAUUUGUUUUAAAUUCGUGUUCUAAUAUCUUGUAACUUGAUUCAAUCAAGGGAUUGAAUCAAGGGGUUAAGGUUUGUUGGUGAGCCAAAGGGAAAACCAACAUUGUAAGGUUGUGGUUGGUGAGCCUUUGGGAAAACCAACUGGGUUGAUUGUGAACCCGGAAAAUAAUCGUUGUAAGGUUGUGGUUGGUGAGCCUUUGG